GGUCUAUGAUGAACUGUAAAAGGUCUGAUUGCACUUCUGUCACCCUGCAGCCAGUACACUCCCAGCAGUCCCUGUUUACUUAUCAGGCUCAAGUUAUGCCUUGCUUAGUUUCCAGGAAAUGCUGACACUUUUGGACAGCUUGCUUUAUGUAUCUCUUAGAUUUGCAAUGCAUAACGGCAAGAGCUUUCCAACAUAAAUGUGAAAUAUGGAGUUUGGUGAACGGGAACAGGACAUGCAUGAUCUAAAAUAUUUAUUCUGAGACC